AAAAAAAAAAAAAAAGUUUCUAUACAUUCAUAAAGUUUCAAGAUUUGGGGGUGUGUUUUCACUCCUCCAUCGUCAUGGACUCCAAUCUGCCAUCUAUUUCCAAGGCCCUUCCAGGUCCUGUGUCCCUCAGCUAGUGGUAUGCUUCACUUGGGACCCAGAGAUACAUGGGCAUUAUAGUUCAAAUUAUAAUUAAGUUUAGAACUCUAUUGAGACAGAAGAAAGAAAACAGAGCUAAGGUGAAAUAUCUCUGAUAAUCUGUGUUGGUUAAUAUCUAGGAUCCUAGUACCAGAUAUGUUGGAGUGUGAGCUGGUGUCUUCUGCCUGAAAGACACUACCUCUCUAGCAACUGAAUUUAGCAAAUACAAUCGUAAUCCCAGCACGUUAGGGAGGCCAGGGUGGGCAGAUCGUCUGAGGUCGGGAGUUCAAGACCAGCCUCGCCAACAUGGGGAAACCCUGUCUCUACUAAAAAUACAAAACUUAGCUGGGUGUGGUGGCACGCGCAUGCGUGUACACACACACCCCCCUGUAAUCCCAGCUACUCGGAAGGCUGGGGCACAAGAAUCGCGUGAACCCAGGAGGCGGAGGUUGAAGUGAGCCACCGUGCCCGCUGAGAAUCCUUUUUACUUCUCCAACUUCUGUUGGCCACCUGCAUUCCUUGGCUUGUGGCCCUUCCUCCAACUUCAGCAGAGCAUCUUCAAACGUUGCCCUGGCUCCCUUAUCACGUCACCUCCUGCUGGCUUUGACUCUCAGCUCCCUCUUAUGAGGAUCCCUGUGAUUGCUGGACCUACCCAAAUAAACCAGGAUAUAAACCAUCUUAAGAUGCUCAGUCACCUCUACGAGGUCCCUUUUGCUCGCAGGUGCCAGGAGUUGGGACUUGGACAUCUUUAGGGGAGGCCAUUCUUCUGUCCACCACACCACCCCAUGAUUCCAUUUCCAUGUCACCACUGUCUCUAACCCACGGCUCAAGAGUCAAAGGUGCAUCACAGCAGUGAGAACUCACAGGUUCGGGUUUGCUUUCUUCCUGUGGUUGAUUUCUAGGCUUUGGAACUGCGACAUAACUAGCGAUGGCUGCUGCGAUCUCGCAAAGCUUCUCCAAGAAAAAUCAAGCCUGUCGUGUUUGGAUCUGGGGCUGAAUCACAUAGGAGUUAAGGGAAUGAAGUUCCUGUGUGAGGCUUUGAGGAAACCACUGUGCAACUUGAGAUGUCUGUGGUUGUGGGGAUGUUCCAUCCCUCCGUUCAGUUGUGAAGACCUCUGCUCUGCCCUCAGCUGCAACCAGAGCCUCGUCACUCUGGACCUGGGUCAGAAUCCCUUGGGGUCUAGUGGAGUGAAGAUGCUGUUUGAAACCUUGACAUGUUCCAGUGGCACCCUCCGGACACUCAGGUUGAAAAUAGAUGACUUUAAUGAUGAACUCAAUAAGCUGCUGGAAGAAAUAGAAGAAAAAAACCCACAACUGAUUAUUGAUACUGAGAAACAUCAUCCCUGGGAAGAAAGGCCUUCUUCUCAUGACUUCAUGAUCUGAAUCCCCCUGAGUCAUUCAUUCUCCAUGAAGUCAUCGAUUUUCCAGGUGUUGGUGAACUGCCUGUGACUCCUCUCCUCCCCCGCCCCUACCCCUCAGGGAUAAUGAGUUCAUUGCUGGGCUAGAUGUUUUAGCCAUGAUUCUGCCUCUGUUUUACACCUGCACACGUCCUUAUCUUUGUUACAUAUGAAAUAUCUGUAUCACGGGUAUAUUGAGAGAAAUAAAGGUGAGAGCAUUCACAAA
rnacentral:sRNA from 1 species